rnacentral:rRNA from 1 species
GACGAACGCUGGCGGCGUGCUUAACACAUGCAAGUCGAACGGAAAGGCCUGCUUUCCCUUGUGGAUUGCGGGUACUCGAGUGGCGAACGGGUGAGUAACACGUGAGUGAUCUGCCCCCAACUUGGGUAUAAGCCUGGGAAACUGGGUCUAAUUCCCGAUAGGACUGCAGGGUGGUGCCUGUGGUGGAAAACGAUUUUCUAGUGGUUGGGGAUGAGCUCGCGGCCUAUCAGCUUGUUGGUGGGGUAAUGGCCUACCAAGGCGGCGACGGGUAGCCGGCCUGAGAGGGUGGACGGCGACAUUGGGACUGGGAUACGGCCCAGACUGCUACGGGAGGCAGCAGUGGGGAAUAUUGGACAAUGGGCGGAAGCCUGAUGCAGCGACGCCGCGUGGGGGAUGACGGCCUUCGGGUUGUAAACUCCUUUCGACCGCGAGGAAGCCACCUGGUUGGAAGGGUGGUGACGGUAGUGGUAGAAGAAGCACCGGCUAACUACGUG